UACGAAGGGGGGCUAGCGUUGUUCGGAAUCACUGGGCGUAAAGCGCACGUAGGCGGAUCUUUAAGUCAGGGGUGAAAUCCCAGAGCUCAACUCUGGAACUGCCUUUGAUACUGGGGAUCUCGAGUUCGGGAGAGGUGAGUGGAACUGCGAGUGUAGAGGUGAAAUUCGUAGAUAUUCGCAAGAACACCAGUGGCGAAGGCGGCGACCUGGUCCUUUUACUGACGCUGAGGCGCGAAAGCGUGGGGAGCAAACAGG
rnacentral:rRNA from 1 species